UAGUACAUUUCUAGAACAUAGCCAAUGAUAACAAUUCUGCAAAUCACUUCAAGUUCUCACCCUUGAGUUCAUUAAAUGAAGAGUUUUACGAAAAACCCAUUUGCUGUUGCUCAAUAAAAACUCCCAGAGCUGCUUCUCUGCAGCCAAAAAGGUUCAAGUUGGGAGCUUUUGGGAGGCAAAGAUGGAGUUUUGGUGAAGUUUGUAGGGACAAAGAUGGGAUUUUUUGGAAAGAAGAAGGGUGGAAGAGGAAGAGAAGAAUGGUUUUGGUGAUGUUUAAUCGAGGCUUUGGGUUUAAUCGUGGCGACGGUGGCAGUAGUGAUGGUGGAAGUGGUGGUGGGAAAAUUAAUAGCGACACUGCUAGGCUUCUGGGAAAUAUUGCUUUGGCUAUCGGGUUGACAUAUCUUUCAGUCACUGGUCAAAUUGGCUGGGUUUUAGAUGCUAUUGUCUCUAUUUGGCUCAUUGCAGUGAUCGUUCCUAUUGUUGGUGUGGGAGCCUUCCUUUGGUGGGCGGGGAGGGAUAUUGUUCAAAGCAGUUGCCCAAAUUGUGGAAACGAUUUUCAGAUUUUCAAGUCUUUCCUAAACGAUGAGUUGCAGCUGUGCCCUUACUGCAGUCAACCAUUUUCAGUGGUGGAUGACAAAUUUGUCAAGGAACCUGUAAAGUUCUCCAACGAAGCCUCGAAAGCAAAACAAGCAUUCAAUGGCUUCUCUCCUGGUUUCAAGAAAGGAAACGUUUCUUCGGGGCCGGUUGUUGAUGUUGAAGCAGAAGUGAAAGAUGCGGAUUGAGAGCUAGCAUAGACGGUAAAGAACUUAAAAUGUGUGCAUUACUUCGAGCUUUCUAAAUUCGAGUUGCUAACAGAGUGGGUGCAAUCUUGCAACUUAUGCAUAUCUAUGUAUAUGUCUUGCACCGUCGGAUCGGAGAACACUGCAGUGAAGAGGAUUGUCAUGUUGUAGAUGAAUAACAGGAAUGUGACAUUGCAAAUGCUCGUUCGAUUUUGAUAAACUGUGUCGGUAUAGCGUAACUCUAUAUUUUCUUCAUCCUUCGUUCCGGUAGAAGUCGAAAGAAUAGGUCACUUCAUGUUCUGCACUGCAUAACGCUGUAUAUAAUUUGUUGGCAGCUACUAUAUAUCUGUUUCUCUUCCAUUCUCUUCAUAUUU